rnacentral:rRNA from 1 species
GUGUCAGCACGCCGCGGUAAUACGAAGGGACCUAGCGUAGUUCGGAAUUACUGGGCUUAAAGAGCUCGUAGGUGGUUAAGAAAGUUGGUGGUGAAAUCCCAAGGCUUAACCUUGGAACUGCCACCAAAACUUUUUGACUAGAGUAUGAUAGAGGUAAGUGGAAUUUCUAGUGKARAGGUGAAAUUCGUAGAUAUUAGAAAGAACACCAAUUGCGAAGGCAACUUUCUGGAUCAUUACUGACACUGAGGAGCGAAAGCAUGGGUAGCGAAGAGGAUUAGAUACCCUCGUAGUCCAUGCUGUAAACGAUGUGUGCUAGACGUUGGAAACUUAGUUUUCAGUGUCGCAGCGAAAGCGUUAAGCACACCGCCUGGGGAGUACGACCGCAAGGUUAAAACUCAAAUGAAUUGACGGGGACCCGCACAAGCAGUGGAGCAUGUGGUUUAAUUCGAAGAUACGCGCAGAACCUUACCAACACUUGACAUGUUCGUCGCGACUCGUAGAGAUAUGAGUCUUCGGUUCGGCCGGACGAAACACAGGUGCUGCAUGGCUGUCGUCAGCUCGUGUCGUGAGAWKGUUGGGUUAAGUCCCGCAACGAGCGCAACCCUUACUUUUAGUUGCCACCAUUUAGUUGAGCACUCUAAAAGAACUGCCAGUGAUAAGCUGGAGGAAGGCGGGGAUGACGUCAAGUCCUCAUGGCCCUUACGGUGUUGGGCUACACACGUGCUACAAUGGCACUUACAAUGAGAUGCGAAGAGGCGACUCCUAGCCAAUCUCUAAAAUGUGCCUCAGUUCGGAUUGUACUCUGCAACUCGAGUACAUGAAGCUGGAAUUGCUAGUAAUCGCGGAUCAGCUCGCCGCGGUGAAUACGUUCCCGGGUCUUGCACACACCGCCCGUC